UACGUAGGCAGCAAGCGUUGUUCGGAGUUACUGGGCGUAAAGGGUGUGUAGGCGGUUCUUUAAGUUUGGUGUGAAAUCUCCCGGCUCAACCGGGAGGGUGCGCCGAAUACUGAGGGACUAGAGUGCGGGAGAGGAAAGUGGAAUUCCUGGUGUAGCGGUGGAAUGCGUAGAUAUCAGGAGGAACACCGGUGGUGUAGACGGCUUUCUGGACCGUAACUGACGCUGAGACACGAAAGCGUGGGUAGCAAACAGG
rnacentral:rRNA from 1 species